UCACAUCCCUGCUAGCAGUCAGUGGCAGCGGAUCUGCUGGAAUGAGUAAGUGAAUAAAUGAACGGAUGGGUUUUGGAGGCAUUUUGUCCUUUAGGGUGCAUUCUUGGGCACAUGGGGGACCCACGGAGCAUGCCACAAACAUCAACCAGACAAGUAAGAGACACAAUUUCAGCAGCUGUGUACUCCUGCACUUAUACACUUGGAUUUUUCAUGUGGAAAAAAGCAUGGAGAUUUCCAAGGAAAGACAGUCAAACCCUCCCCAACCAGCUUACUGUCCAAGUUCUGAGAGUGGGAAGAGAAAACAGGUGGGAAGAUGAAAAAUGAAAGGAAGAGAAAGGUGACCAAGUGCUGUUACAAAUACUUAGGCUUUGUCAAUUGGGGAUGAAACAAAGAGGCUUUCCAUGGGGUAGAAAGGCUGCUGCUCAAAUAUCCAGGAGGAAAUUAACUUAAUGCUCCAAGUCUGGGGGAUCACGUCAAGAAGACAUCUUGCCAUCACCAAGAAGCCAGGGUCAUCGUUUGCUUCAGACACAUUUAGCUCAGCAGCAAUACACUUAAUACUGUUAAAUACCAUGUCAGGCCUUUGCGCAUUUCAGAGGAAAGUAUCAUACUGGUACUGCUUAUGACCUAUAGUAGGCUGAUAACAGAAAUGUGUCUUCAUUGAUGUCUUUACUUUGCUUAGGAAGAUGGAGGUCAUUUUAAUGACUUAUGGCUCCCUGCCAACAGAGCCGAGGUGGUCUGCUGCUAUAUCUAUCAAUAAUGUAUUAAUUUAUUAGCCUCCGUGUUUGUGUGUGUGUAUGAAUAAAAUGUUUCACCACACAGCUUUUUAAACCACAGAGCACUCCUGAUUGAGUGUAUUGUAAGUGAUUUUUUCAUGCUCUUUUCAAGUGGAUUGUAAAAUAUAUAAAUAUGUAUGUAUGUAUGUAUGUAUGUAUGUAUAAUAUGAAUCUGAGGGGUAUAUUUGAACUUUUUUUAAGCGAAUGUUUUGAAAUUUACAGUUUUAGAACCUGAAAAACAGUCUGAGAAACAAAAUAGCAACAUGUGUCAGGAACCAUAAUAGCAUGUAAAAUGGUCCUUAUUUUUUACAUUUCAAAUAUUAACAAUGCUAUCCUUGUAAAACAAUUUUUUAAUCCUCUCAGAAGAAUAUAUUUGAUUUAAUCUAAUUGUGCUCACUUCAGCAGCACAUAUACUAAAAUUGGAAUGAUGUAAUUUAAUUGAUUUAAUGUUUUAAUGUGAUUUUUGUGGAUUUUAUUUUAUUUUUUUAUUUUUGUAAUGAGUUUUAUGAAAAGUGGUAUAUUGAACUUUAAAUAAAUAUACCAACUUUCUUUUUGUGACAAAGAGAUCACAAUUCACAAUUGAAAGAAGUUAUUACUCAACACACUCAAAAUGAUUCUCAGCUUCAAAACACAAGUAUAAUUUAAAUAUACAUGAAUUUUUUUCUCAGAGCUGUAAGGCUAAAAAAUAACCAUUACUUUGAUGUAUCUCUCCCUCUCUUUUUAAGACAUCAGAUCUGCUUAGAGCAGAGGUAGGCAAACUUGGGUCUCCAGCUGUUGUUGAACUACACACUGGUGGAGGAAGCUAGCCGGUGGCCUGUGUUCCUUCCACCGCCACCCAUGCCAUGUCCCCCGCGUCUGAUGUCAAAUGCUACAUUAGAUGUCAGCCGUGCAGCCCCAUUUGGGAGCAUAUUCUGGCCAGUGCCACAUUCACAACAUGGCCAUGAAUGUAGUGCUGGCUGGUAUUUGCACUCAAAUGGGGCCGCAUGGCCCCAUUUGGGAAAGAAGCCACGCCCCUGCAUCUGACGUCAGAUGCAGGGUGUGUGGCCGGGGCACCAGGCGCGGCCCCUGAUUGGCAGCAUCCCGGGUUCUUUGAACCCGUCCACUCAUUGGUGGCUCCACCCCUGGAACUACAUCAUCAUUCCCAGUCAUCAUCCCAAGCCACAAUAAAUUGGAGAUUCUGCUGGAGACCUAAGGUUGCCUACCUCUGGUUUAGAGUGCAAACCUGAAAAGUGGGAUCAUUUUACCCAGAGCCACUUAGAAACAGUUAUUUGAUCUAUGUGUGUAGUUAUAAAUGAAUGCAUACU